UACGGGGGGAGCAAGCGUUGUUCGGAUUUACUGGGCGUAAAGGGCGCGUAGGCGGUCAGCACAAGUCAGUUGUGAAAUCUCCGGGCUUAACUCGGAAAGGUCAACUGAUACUGUGCGACUGGAGUGCGGAAGGGGCAACUGGAAUUCUCGGUGUAGCGGUGAAAUGCGUAGAUAUCGAGAGGAACACCUGCGGCGAAGGCGGGUUGCUGGGCCGACACUGACGCUGAUGCGCGAAAGCCAGGGGAGCGAACGGG
rnacentral:rRNA from 1 species